rnacentral:lncRNA from 1 species
CUCAAGGUGAAGGAGAUCAAGAACGGCCGCCUCGCCAUGUUCUCAAUGUUCGGCUUCUUUGUCCAAGCUAUCGUCACGGGCAAGGGCCCACUUGAGAACCUCGCUGACCACAUUGCUGACCCCGUCAACAAUAACGCAUGGGCAUUCGCCACCAACUUUGUCCCCGGCAAGUAAGAUGUCUUGAAGAUUGUGCACGCCCCAAAGCGUAUUGGUGUGCAAUCUGAGUUGUACUACCAUGAUGUAAAUUACGAGAAUUUUGUGCAAAAGCAAUGCAAGAUUUUUCCGUCUUGAAUGUUGUGAUUUGCAUCGAAAUGAUCAUCGUGCUUGCAAUCCACGAGAACAGGUAAAUAUUUCGGCUCGAGCUUAGCUAACCAUUAUCAUUAUGUGCUCGGAUCAACGGCGGCUCAUAUGAUUGUGUAGGCUAUUGACGCUGGUGGAUUUGUGGGGUCAGAGCAAACACUAAUAUAAACUUUCAUGGAAGCUUCCAUCAAAACAAUAAUCGGGAACGAUCUCAAUUCAAUUGCAGGGGUCAUGUCUUGCUUUCGUUUCUUAAUUUCCAACAAAGGUUGUGUGGCCAAUUAUACCUCAUUAGUGAUUUUUCAUAUCUCCCUCCCAGCCCAACCAAGUGGUUUGGUUUACCACUAUCGGUCUAGGGCAUUGUUAUCUAAAGUGAGCAAGUAAUGUAACCGUCGAGAAAUAGUCAAUUUAGUUGAGGAGGGGCUGCGAGAGGCGGUCGUUGACGCUGAUAUUGCGGUGGGUGGCAAAGAACUGGAGGUAGAGAUGGGUGGGCAACACUUGUCUCUGUUUUGUGUCAUUUUUAUUAUAAACCAAUUAAAAAUUAUUGCUAUUCUUCUUAAAGCAUAUAAGAGUAGAUAUACAAUAAAAUAUACUUUUAUAAAAGAUAGCUAUUAAAAUAUUGUGAAUAACUAAGGUUUUAUUACACAAUAUAAUUGUUGUACAUGAUCAUCACCAAAACACAAAAGAUAGGGUGACCGGUGACAUGAGAAUCAACGACGUUAGAGAGAUGGGGAUCACGUGCUAAGAUUUUCUUUCUUGAGAUCUUUGACUUAUAAUUUUUUUUAUGAGAUUCCUGCCCUAAUUUAAGAGCUACACAUAUACAAAUCAAACAUACAUAAUUAUAAGUGAGAAUUAUAAGCACGUUGAUGAAUUUGACUUAACAUUGAUGUUUUGAAGUAUGUGAAUAUAUUGCAAUAUAGUGAAACAAUAAUAUUAUGUGCGAUGACACAUGCAAUUUAUAUAGUUCUCUAGGCUCAAAUAAAAAUAAAAGCAUACGUUAUCCCAGAAUGGGAAAUAACAACUUAAACUGCACUUGGGUGCAUAUGCACCAGGCUGAACAGUAAAUUUGGAAAGAAAAAAUAGGAAACAAUUUCAACAGAAAUCUGAACUUUUUUAGACAAAGAUUGCUGAAUGUGUUUACCAAUAUGAAAAAAUUUGUGCUGAAAAUCAUUCGUGAGGUCUGAAAAAAAAUGAUAUUCCAAAAAAGGGCAUCUUUUAAGCACUUUGGAACACUGGUUUUUUUUUUCAGGCCUCCUCGGAUGUUUUUCCAUCACGAAACUUGUUUGCUUGUUAGUAAACCAUUCAAGAAUGUUUAUCACAAAAAAAAUGUUUACUAGUUUUUCAAAAUUUGCUAUUCAUCCUGGGUGCAUAUGCACCCAGCAGAAGAUCGAACACUUCUGCUUAAACUAACAUUUUUUCGUGUAGAAAUAACCUUCUCCAUCAUUUUUCCAAUUUAUGUGGUAAUGUUACACACUUUGAAUUAUUUUUGUUCAAUAUUUAGUACGAAUGGAGGCACAUUUUAUUAAGGUUAAAUUACUAAUCUUUUUUUACCAAGCAUAACUUGUUUCAUUUCAUUAGCUGUAUAAUAUAUAGAAAAAAGCAGUAUAAUAAGUCUAUAAAAUAUAUAGAAUAUUCAGAUGUAAAUUGGAAUAAAUUGAUUUUAUUUGUCAGUUGGAAGGUAAAUUAAGAUGGACCUAUAUUUUUCAUUAUGGUAGAAAUGGAUAUAUCUAGCUUUAUGUAUGGCAUUUGGCUCAAUAAUGUGAUAUUUUACCAAGAGGAGAUGGUACAUUCUAUUUUGAUUUUCUGAAAUCUAAAAGAUACAUGAGCGCAACGGCUCGCCGGAGUGGUGCAUGCGAACCAUGCAGGUCUCACUCACACAUGCACAUAGAUCCAAUCAGCUGUCUCCAAGGAAAUCCAUUCACAACCACUCCUGGUCACAAGUUCACAGCAUACUCAUUUCUCCUGGCUCUCACUGCGCCAAGUGUCCUGAGAGCAAGAGAUAAAUGCAGCACCAAUGGCAGCAAAGCUCAAGAUUUUUCUCUCUAUCCUUGUUUAUCUUGUCAGAUUACACACCAAAUGGAUUCCAUGUGACACCUCCUUCUGCCUUAAGUAGCCACCUCCCCCUCUUCUAUCAAGUCAUCUCCACACUCACUCAUCUCUUAGAGAACCCAUACAGCACAGCGGACACUUUUCUUAGCUUUCCAAUGGCGGCAGCCACCAUGUCCCUCUCCUCCUCGACCUUUGCCGGCAAGGCGGUGAAGAAUGUACCAUCUUUAGCUCUCUUUGGCGAGGCCCGAGUCACCAUGCGCAAGACCGCUGCAAAGGCGAAGCAGGUUUCCUCCGGCAGCCCAUGGUACGGUGCCGACCGUGUGCUCUACCUCGGCCCACUCUCCGGUGAGCCCCCGAGCUACCUGACCGGUGAGUUUCCUGGCGACUAUGGGUGGGACACUGCCGGGCUUUCUGCUGACCCCGAGACUUUCGCCAAGAACCGGGAGCUGGAGGUGAUCCAUUGCCGCUGGGCCAUGCUCGGGGCACUUGGUUGUGUCUUCCCUGAGUUGCUCGCCCGCAACGGCGUCAACUUCGGUGAGGCUGUUUGGUUCAAGGCGGGCUCUCAAAUAUUUAGUGAGGGUGGUCUCGACUACCUCGGCAACCCCAGCCUCAUCCACGCACAAAGCAUCCUUGCUAUUUGGGCAUGCCAGGUCGUGCUCAUGGGUGCCGUCGAGGGGUAUCGCGUUGCUGGCGGCCCACUCGGUGAGAUCGUCGACCCACUCUACCCAGGCGGCAGCUUCGACCCUCUUGGCUUGGCCGAAGACCCCGAGGCAUUCGCCGAGCUCAAGGUGAAGGAGAUCAAGAACGGUCGCCUUGCCAUGUUCUCAAUGUUUGGCUUCUUUGUCCAAGCUAUCGUCACGGGCAAAGGCCCACUUGAGAACCUCGCGGACCACAUCGCCGACCCCGUCAACAACAAUGCAUGGGCAUUUGCCACCAACUUUGUCCCCGGCAAGUAAGGUGUCUUGGGACUAAGCUCGCCAUGAGGCGUAUUAUCUUGUGGUCUGAGUUGUACUAUCAUGAUGUAAAUUAAGAGAAUUUUGUGCAAAAGCACGGCUUGAGUUGUCCACUUCCAUGUCGUGCCUUGCAUCGGUCCGAUCAUUUUGUUGUGAUAUCAUGGUUCAUGAGAGCAGAUAAAUACCCCCUCUUCCAUAAUAUAAUAUCGUUUUUGACACUAGUGUAACUUCUGUGUGCACUUACUUAACUGUUACCAUGUUGGUGGAAGACACAUUUAAAACUGAUUCCCAUAUUUAAAAGAGUGGCAACAUGUAAACCAGGCUCUAGUGAUUCUUUGCUGCUUUGACUGGAAAAUUGGUCUGACCAACCUUUACAACAACUUUAUCCUGAGCUUUCCUCCUAUGCCACUAACUUGUUCCUUCGAGUGCAGCUUCGCAAUUGCAUGAUCUAGCAGACAAGUUUCAUAGACCUAUUUCUGCUCCGGCUCACUCUCAGUUCAUCCACUUGCAAGAGAAUAUUACUGCACGUCAGGCUCAGGGAGAUGCUGAUCAAUGGAACUAUUCAUGGAAUUCUGCCACUUGCUCCUCCAAGAAGAUGUACAAUAUUCUUAUGGUGAGUUUCAAGCCUGUCCACAUUUUAUCUGGCUUUGGAAGAGUACCUGUCAACUCAAACAAAAAUAAAUUGUUGGCUACUACUUUAUGAGAGAGCUAACACCAGAAAUCUGGUGCAGAGGAAAACAUUUUGUCUUCCCCCUUACAGUUGUGUCCUUUUUCCAUGAGCAAACAGACUGAAGAAACUCAGCUUGAUCUCUUCUGGGACUGCAGUUUUUGCCGGGCAUGCUGAAAUGCUUUUAUACCUCACAAGCUCAUCUUGAUCUCAACCUUUAUGAAAUUAAGCUUGCAAGAAUAACCAUUAACGCUCCAUUUAGCAUGGACAUAGUCAUUCCAUGCUGUUGGAAGAUAUGGAAGAUCGGAAAUGUUAAAAUAUACGUACCUCCUCCUUUUCUAAAAAAAGAACUAAGAGGCUUUCUAUGGGAAGAUCGCUUAGAAGUUUCAGCUAAGAUAUUACUCUGGUUAUCCAUGGGGUAAAGAGAAAACACUCGGAUAAUUUUCUUUCUUGGAUAGAAAAUAAUUUGUAAACAUUCCCCUUCCCUCUUCUGUAUAUAGUCCCUUGUAAAUAUGUGUAUUAACAUAGUUACACAGUAGAAUCCUUUCCUACUGUUUUCCAGUAAAAGAACAUAUAUAAUGUGUUCAGACGAGAGACAGCUUACAUGAUUGUGUACGCCGGUGAAUCCAUGGGGGGCGAGCGAGGGAAAUGCUAGUAUACAUUUUUCAUUGAAGCUGGCUAUUACGUGCUAUUCUUCAGGCUUUCCAUCAAGGCAACCAUCACGAAUGAUCUCAAUCCAUCCCGCUCGAUUGCAAGGGCCAUGGUUUUCUUUCAUUUCUGAAUGUGCAACAAAACAGAGUGUGGCCAAUUAUACUGCAUCAGUGAUUUUUCAGGUCUCUCUGCACUUUCACGUUAUGAUUUGGACAAUUCAGAGACAGAUAGGCGUUGAUCGAAUAUUCAAGAAUGGCCGUUGGCUAUGAGACUGCAGCAAACAGCAUGCACGUGCGUGUGAUCUGAAUUGUACUACUACCAUUCAUGUGAAGUACAAAUGACCAUGUGCCAAAGCAUUGCCCACUGCAGAUUUGCCUCCCUCUGCUCCCAAUUUUUCACACCUGGCCUGAAGCACCCAUUGCUAUUACUCCUAAGAUGAUUGCAAAAGGAGGUCUAGUACAUGAAUCCAAAGUAAGCCCGGUCCAAACUUGACGACUGAAACAUCGUUGCGUCCUAUGUGGUCAUCCCCGUGUUCCAUUACCAUGUCACAAUCAGCACCGACUCGACUGAUCUUGCGCUGCCCCUAAACCAAUCAGGCUAUCAGCAUCGCCACGAUGCCACACCUACCUCUAAGUUAGUUUAAAUUUCUUUCAGAAAAUGUCUAUCAACUAGGAACUACCAGGUGACUAUUCUUUAACAAAAAAAAAAAUUGAAUCCUGCACGCCUGUGGGACGCUUUUCACAAUAUCCAACUCCAGUUCGAGAUGCAGGAUGUCUAGGCUUGCUCUGGAUAUUAUGUUGUUGCAGAGACUGGGUGUAAUUGGUAUCAUCUUGAUAUUAAUAUAUUCCCUACAGUAUUCUCUGUGAAGGAGUCAUUUGGUAUCCAACUGCAAGGGCCAUUUGGUAAUGUUACACACUUUGAUUUAUUUAUUUAUUUUUGUUCAAAGAUUUACUACGAAUGGGGGAACAUUUUCUUUUAAGGUUAAAUUAAUAGUUUUUUUAUUUAGCCAGACAUAACUUGUUUUAUUUCAGUAGCAGCAUAAUUAGUCUCUACGUUAAACUAAAAUAUAUAGAAUAUUCAGAUGUAAAUUGGAAUAAAUUGAUUUUAUUUGUCAGUUGAAUGGCAAAUUAAGAUGGACCUACAUUUUUCUUUGUGCUAAAAAAUGGAUAUAUCUAGCUUUAUGUAUGGCAUUUGGCUCAAUAAUGUGAUGCCGCGCGAACCAUGCAGGUCUCACUCACACAUGCACUUAGAUCCAAUCAGCUGUCUCCAAGGAAAUCCAGUCACAGCCACUCCUGGACACAAGUUCACAGCAAUACUCAUUUCUCCUGGCUCUCACUGCGCCAAGUGUUAUGAGAGCAAGAGAUCUAUGCAGCGCCAAUGGCAGCAAAGCUCAAGAUUUUUCUCUCUAUCCUUGUUUAUCUUGUCAGAUUACACACCAAAUGGAUUCCCUAUGACACCUCCUGCUGCCUUAAGUAGCCACCUCCCCAUCUUCUAUCAAAUCAUCUCCACACCCUCUAAUCUCUUUGAGAACCCAUACAGCACAGCGGACACUUUUCUUAUCUUUCCAAUGGCGGCAGCCACCAUGUCCCUUUCCUCAUCGACCUUCGCCGGCAAGGCGCUGAAGAAUGUACCAUCUUUGGCUGUCUUUGGUGAGGCGAGAGUCACCAUGCGCAAGACCGUAGCAAAGGCGAAGCAGGUUUCUUCCGGCAGCCCAUGGUACGGUGCUGACCGUGUGCUUUACCUCGGCCCACUCUCCGGUGAGCCCCCAAGCUAUCUGACAGGUGAGUUCCCAGGUGACUAUGGGUGGGACACAGCCGGACUUUCAGCUGACCCUGAGACCUUCUCCAAGAACCGGGAGUUGGAGGUGAUCCACUGUCGUUGGGCCAUGCUUGGGGCACUUGGUUGCGUCUUCCCUGAGUUGCUCGCCCGCAAUGGCGUUAAGUUCGGUGAGGCUGUUUGGUUCAAGGCCGGCUCUCAAAUCUUUAGUGAGGGUGGUCUUGACUACCUUGGCAACCCCAGCCUUGUCCACGCACAAAGCAUCCUGGCUAUUUGGGCAUGUCAGGUCGUGCUCAUGGGUGCCGUCGAGGGGUACCGCGUUGCCGGCGGCCCACUCGGUGAGAUCGUCGACCCACUCUACCCAGGCGGCAGCUUCGACCCUCUUGGCUUGGCCGAAGACCCUGAGGCAUUCGCCGAGCUCAAGGUGAAGGAGAUCAAGAACGGUCGCCUUGCCAUGUUCUCAAUGUUUGGCUUCUUUGUCCAAGCUAUCGUCACGGGCAAGGGCCCACUUGAGAACCUCGCUGACCACAUCACCGACCCCGUCAACAACAAUGCAUGGGCAUUCGCCACCAACUUUGUCCCCGGCAAGUAAGGUGUCUCAGGAGUCAAGACUCUGCUCGCCAUGAGGCGUGUUGUCAUGUGGUCUGAGUUGUACUAUCAUGAUGUAAAUUAUGAGAAUUUUGUGCUAAAUCACGGUUCGAUUUGUCCACUUCCAUGUUGCUCCUUGCGUCGGUCUGACCAUUUUGUUGUGAUCAUGGUUCACCAGAACAGAUAAAUACUUCUGUGUGCGCUUACUUAACUAUUACCAUAUUGGUGGAAGACACAUUUCAACUGAUUCCCCUAUUUAAAAGUGUGGCAACAUGUAAACCAGGCUCUGGUCAUUCAUCCUGAGCUUUGCUCCUACGCCACCAACUUGAAUAUCCUUUGAGUGCAGUUUUGCAACUGCAUGAUCUACAGACAAGUUUCAUAGAACUAUUUCUGCUCAGGCUCACUCUCAGUUCAUCCAAAUGCAAGAGAAUAUUACUGCACUUCAGGCUCAGGGAGAUACUGAUCAAUGGAACUAUUCAUGGAAUUCUGCCAAUUACUCCUCCAAAAAGAUGCACAAUAUUCUUAUGGUGAGUUUCAAGCCUGUGCACAUAUUAUCUAUCUAGCUUUGGAAGAGUGUCUGUCAACUCAAACAAACAAACAAAAUUGUUGGCUACUACUUUAGCUAACUCCAGAGAUCUGGUGCAGAGGAAAACAUUUUGUCUUCCCCCUUACAGCUGUGUCAUUUUCCAUGAACAACCUGAAGAAACUCAGCUUCAUCUAUUCUCGGACUGCAGUUUUUCUCGGGCAUGCUGAAAUGCUUUUAUACCUCACAAGCUCAUCUUGAUCUCAACCUUUAUGAAAUUAAGCUUGCAAGAAUAACCAUUAACGCUCCAUUUAGCAUGGACAUAGUCAUUCUAUGCUGUUGGAAUAUAUGGAAGAUCGGAAAUGCUAAAAUAUUCAGAACUAAGAGACUUUCUAUGGGAAGAUGGCUUAGAAGUUUCAGCUAAGAUAUUACUCCCUCUGUAAAUAAAUAUAAGAGCGUUUAGAUCACUACUUUAGUGAUCUAAACUCUUAUAUUUCUUUACGGUACUUUAGUGAUCUAAACUCUCUUAUAUUUCUUUACGGAGGGAGUACUACGGUUAUCCAUGGGGUAAAGAGAAAACACUAGGAUAAUUUUCUUUCUUGGAUAGAGAAUGUUUUGUGAUCUUUCCCCUUCCCUCUUCUGUAUAUACUCCCUUGUAAAUAUUUUUAUUAAUACAAUUACAUAGUAGGAUCCUUUCUUACUGUUAUCCAGUAAUAUAUAUAUAUAUAUAUAUAUAUAUAUAUAUAUAUAUGAUGUGUUCAGACAAGAGACAACAUAUAUGACCAUGUACGCCGGUGAAUCUACGGGGCCCGAGCGAAGGAAACGCUGGUAUACAUUUUUCAUCGAAGCUGGCUAUUUUGUGCUUAUUCUUCACGCUUUCCAUCAAGGCAACCAUCACGAAUGAUCUCAAUCCAUCCCGCUCGAUUGUAGGACUCUCUGCGCUUUUACGUUAUGAUUUGGACAAUUCAGAGACAGAUAGGCAUUGAUCUAAUAUUCAAGAAUGGCCGUUGGCUAACUGCAGCGAACAGCACGCACGUGUGUGUGGUUUGAACUGCACUACCAUUCAUGUGAAGUACAAAGGACCAUGUGCCAAAGCAUUCCCACUGCAGAUUUGCCUCCCUCUGCUCCCAAUUUUUCAGUUUUCACACCUGGCCCGAGGCACCCAUUUGUUAGUUACUCCUAGGAUGAAUGCAAAAGAAGGUCUAGUAUAUGAAUCCAAAUUAAGCCCUGUCCAAACCUGACGACUGAAACAUCGUUGCGUCCUAUGUGAUUAUCCCCAUGUUCCAUUACCAUGUCGCAAUCACCACCGACACGCCUGCUGCUGCGCUGCCCCUAAACCAAACAGGCUAUCACCAUCACCAUGUGUGAUGCCGCACCUACCUCUAAGUUAGUUUAAAUUUCUUUCAGAAAAUGUCUAUCAACUAAGAACUACUACCAAGUUCCUAGAUUUUUUUUAAUUCUUAUUCGUGCACCUGUGGGACGCUGUUCACAAUAUCCAACUCCAGUCCGAGAUGCAGGCUGAGAUGGAGUUCUUGGAGGCUUGGUGGUUCCCAUUCCAGGAAGCAACUCCCAAAGGCCAAAGCGCAAAGGUUUCAGCUCAAUGGCCAUGUUAACCUGCUGGUGUCUAGAAGCAAAAGGACGCUAGAGUGUUUGCCAAUACUAGUCAACAGCUCAGUGGAACUGAACUUUGCCCCUUCAUGUUUAUGAACUGCAUCAAUGGGUGCUGCCUUUUGGAACUGAAUCCUCUAACAUUAAGGAAAGUUAGAGAAGAUACAAUACCCUAUCUUUCCUUCUUUCAAUCCAUAUGAUUAAGGCUAAAAUGAUUUAAAUUAAUUUGCAAGUUACAGAUUUAAUGUAUACAUUCAUAAUCAUUACAUAGAAACACUUUCUUUUAAGGUUAUAAUAAAUUAAUAGUCAUGUUUUUUUCUUAUCAAACAUAACCUGUUUUAUUUAUUAGCAGUAUAAUGAGUCCCUACUUUAAACUAAAAUAUAUAGAAUAUUCAGAUGUAAAUUGGAAUAAAUGGAUUUUAUUUGACAGUUAAAUGGAAAAUUAAGAUGGACCUACAUUUUUCAUUAUGGUAAACAAAUGGAUAUAUCUAGCUUUAUGUAUGGAAUUUGGCUCAAUAAUGUGAUCUUUUACCGCAUGGAGAUGGUACAUCCUAUUUAGAUUUUCUGAAAUCUAAAAGAUACAUGAGCGCGACAGCUCGCCGGAGUGCACACGGUGUGACGCCGCGCGAUGCUUUCUGGUGCAUGUGAACCAUGAAGGUCUCACUCAUAGACUUGAUCCAAUCAGCUGCCUCCAAGGAAAUCCAGUCACAUCCACUCCUGGACACAAGUUCACAGCCAUACUCAUUUCUCCUGGCUCUCAUUACGCCAAGUGUUCUGAGAACCAGAGAUCUAUGCAGCACCAAUAGCAGCAAAGCACAAGAUUUUUUUCUCUAUCCUUGUUUAUCUUUACACACCAAAUGGAUUCCCUAUGAAGCCUCCUGCUGCCUUAAGUAGCCACCACCCCCUCUUCUAUCAAAUCAUCUCUUUGGGAACCCAUACAGCACAGCAGACACUUUUCUUAGCUUUCCAAUGGCGGCAGCCAUCAUGUCCCUCUCCUCCUCGACCUUUGCCGGCAAGGCGGUGAAGAAUGUACCAUCUUUGGCUCUCUUUGGAGAGGCCCGAGUCACAAUGCGCAAGACUGCAGCGAAGGUGAAGCAGGUUUCCUUUGGCAGCCCAUGGUACGGUGCCGACCGUGUGCUCUACCUCGGCCCACUCUCUGGUGAGCCCCCGAGCUACCUCACUGGUGAGUUCCCAGGCGACUAUGGGUGGGACACUGCCGGACUUUCAGCUGACCCCGAGACCUUCGCCAAGAACCGGGAGCUGGAGGUGAUCCAUUGCCGCUGGGCCAUGCUCGGGGCACUUGGUUGUGUCUUCCCUGAGUUGCUCGCCCACAACGGCGUCAACUUCGGUGAGGCUGUUUGGUUCAAGGCCGGCUCUCAAAUCUUUAGUGAGGGUGGUCUUGAUUACCUCGGCAACCCCAGCCUCGUCCACGCACAAAGCAUCCUUGCUAUUUGGGCAUGCCAGGUUGUGCUCAUGGGUGCCGUCGAGGGGUACCGCGUUGCCGGUGGCCCACUGAGUGAGAUCGUCGACCCACUCUACCCAGGCGGCAGCUUCGACCCUCUUGGGUUGGCUGACGACCCUGAGGCAUUCGCCGAGCUCAAGGUGAAGGAGAUCAAGAACGGUCGCCUUGCCAUGUUCUCAAUGUUCGGCUUCUUUGUCCAAGCUAUCGUCACGGGCAAGGGCCCACUCGAGAACCUCGCUGACCACAUCGCCGACCCCGUCAACAACAAUGCAUGGGCAUUUGCCACCAACUUUGUCCCCGGCAAGUAAGGUGUCUUGAGACUGUGCUCGCCAUGAGGCGCGUUGUCCUGUGGCCUGAGUUGUACUAUCAUAAUGUAAAGUACGAGAAUUUUGUGCAAAAGAAUGGUUCGAUUUGUCCACUUCCAUGGCAUGCCUUGCAUCGGUCUGACCAUUUUGUUGUGAUCAUGGUUCACGAGAACAGAUAAAUACUUCUGUGUGUGCUUGCUUAACUAUUACCAUAUUGGUGGAAGACACAUUUCAACUGAUUCCCCUAUUUAAAAGAGUGGCAACAUGUAAACCAGGCUCUGGUGAUUCAUCCUGAGCUUUGCUCCUAUGCCACC